rnacentral:rRNA from 1 species
CUGAUCCAGCAAUGCCGCGUGAGUGAUGAAGGCCUUAGGGUUGUAAAGCUCUUUUACCCGAGAUGAUAAUGACAGUAUCGGGAGAAUAAGCUCCGGCUAACUCCGUGCCAGCAGCCGCGGUAAU